GAGAGAGCAAACUGAUGGGCAACAGGAGGAACAUUGAGCUUCUGGAUGGGUAGAUAUCACUGAGGGAAAACUUCUGACAAAAGCUACACCAGAAAAUCAUGGAGGCUUUGGAUGAUUGCAAACUUUCGGUUCUAAAUGCUGCCAACAUAGAUGAGGUCUUGCUCCACACCCUCAGUAGGGACAAUUUAAGGGACCUGCUUCCAGGGCCUGAAAAUUUUAUGAGGAGGAAUCAGUUGUGGGCUCAAGUUCACAAAGAGGAUGAAACUAAAGAAAAGGGGUCUCAUGGAUAUCUCACCAUGUGACCAGGGAGAAGAUUAUGAUGCAGAUUCAAGUGGUGGAUUGUAUAAGAUAAAGGUCAG
ensembl:lncRNA